UACGGAGGGGGCUAGCGUUGUUCGGAAUUACUGGGCGUAAAGCGCACGUAGGCGGGUUUGUAAGUAGAGGGUGAAAUCCCAGGGCUCAACCCUGGAACUGCCUUCUAGACUGCAAGCCUGGAGGUCAGGAGAGGCGAGUGGAAUACCGAGUGUAGAGGUGAAAUUCGUAGAUAUUCGGUGGAACACCAGUGGCGAAGGCGACUCGCUGGACUGAUACUGACGCUGAGGUGCGAAAGCGUGGGGAGCAAACAGG
rnacentral:rRNA from 1 species